AUCCUUUUCUGGUUUAUAAGCAUGAUGAUUGGGUGCUGACACAUUUGUGGGACAUGUGCAUCCUUUAAAUCUUGUUAUGCACUUGACACAUUAGACAUCUGAUG